AAAAAGUAGUAAAAAGUAUAGACAUUAACUAAAUGUGACAAAAAAACAAAAAAAUCCUCAUUUAUGGAAAAAGAUUCUUUCCACAGCUGUUGAGGAAUGGUGGUGAUCUGAGGAGGCCUGUAAUACUGCACGGUGCUCUGGAUGGCUGUAUGGGGAGGCCUGUAAUACUACACAGUGCUCUGGAUGGUGCACUGUAUAAACCCACCACUAAAGAAAGUCUCACCGUGGAUGCUGUGCCAGUUAUGUGACAAAUUCCAUGUACACCUUCUAACAAAAUAUGUCCCUAUGUAUGGCUCCUGAGGAAGCGGAUAUUACCAAGUAAACCGCAAAACAUGUAGAGUCUUUAUAUGCUGCACAACUAUUGGUGAUUGGAUAUAUCAUUGGUAACAGAAUGUCAAUGAUGAGUUGAUUCAUGGUUGUCACAAUCAAUAUUUUAUUGUAAAUGUCAUAAACUUUUUCUAUUUUGUAAUAAAUAUUCUUUUAUAUUAUAAUUUUGACUGUCUAGCAGUUGCACAUACGAUGCCAUCAAAGUCCAUUUUAGCCUCCCUUUUCUUUACAAUGCUACCACUGACUGAGAGCUUCCAGCUGCCUGCCAACUUGUUUCAAAUUGUAAAAUGCUGGCAUCAUUGACCAAAUAAGGACAUGACAAUAUUUGGUCAAUGAUGUCAGCCAGCAUCCUUGCCCCAUUUGUCAACAUUCAGCAGCUAAUCUGGUACUUACCAUUGUCAGAGGGAGUCAGACAGGAAAAAACUGUCAUGGCAAAGGUAAUUGUACCAUCAAGACGUUGUUCAUUGUGACAGAUGAUAGAUCUACAUUGCUGGGUGACUGACCUUGGAUUUACAUCAGGGAAAAUGUGCCUUUUAAUUUAUAUUUGUUAAUAAUAAAUGAAUUUUACUA